rnacentral:rRNA from 1 species
GAUGAACGCUGGCGGUAUGCUUAACACAUGCAAGUCGAACGGACUCUUCGGAGUUAGUGGCGGACGGGUGAGUAACGCGUGAGAAUCUGGCUUUGGGUUCGGGACAACCACUGGAAACGGUGGCUAAUACCGGAUGUGCCGAGAGGUAAAAGAGAAAUUGCCUGAAGAUGAGCUCGCGUCUGAUUAGCUAGUUGGUGAGGUAAAGGCUCACCAAGGCAGCGAUCAGUAGCUGGUCUGAGAGGGUGACCAGCCACACUGGGACUGAGACACGGCCCAGACUCCUACGGGAGGCAGCAGUGGGGAAUUGUCCGCAAUGGGCGAAAGCCUGACGGAGCAAUACCGCGUGAGGGAAGAAGGCUCUUGGGUUGUAAACCUCUUUUCUUAGGGAAGAACAAAAUGACGGUACCUAAGGAAUCAGCAUCGGCUAACUCCGUG